ensembl:lncRNA
GGGGACUUUAAGACUAUUUUCUAUCUUGUCCGUCAUUCUUAGUAUUUGAGUUAGUGCGGCUUUAAAAAGAAAGAAAUUCUUUUCCUUCAACAGGUUGCUCAACAUGGAGGGCAACAAGAUGACUAUUUUGGAAAAGUUGCGCCUUAAGACAAAGUUGCCCAACAUCAAAAAGCCACGCAAAAAACCUCUCGCCAAACAAGGAAGGAAUAUGCUCAAUCGACGAAGCAUGUCUGUACCAGACCUGACUUUAGUGCCAGGCGAAGCCUUUGCUGCGGAAAAUUCUCUCACAUCUAAGGCCCUUGACGCCAACUCCUUCAGUAUCUCUCCUGGUCAGAGCGAUACCGAUUCAGUGGCGAGCUGGUCAAACACCGAUGGGCUUCUUUGCGCAGACAAACUCAACGAACCAGCGCCAGAAGUUACUUAUAGAACGCAUCAGAAUCCCUCAGCUCCAGCUCUGAAAAGGCUGAGUGCACCAGUGGAGGUACUCAGCCUCUACGAAGAACCGAAAAUCACAACGAAUUCUGGUUUAGAAAACAAAAUGGACACAAUUCCGGAAAACUUGUACGCUCAAGUGAACAAAAAGAGGAAAGUACCGCUUCCACUUGAGUCUGGUUCUUUACCAAGAAAUGCUUCUGGCACUCUUGCACAGUCCGACUUCUCAGAGAGGCUGAGUCUGUCCGGUGACAUGGAGAGAACGCUUUCAAACAACGUUCCAUCAACCUUGCCCAGAGUCAGCUCGCAGGGGAAAGAAAUGACUCCGUUUCUAGAUAAGAGCACCCCGCUGUUUGAGCAGAUAAAGUUCACAUUUGAAAGACUGACUCCUCCGAUGGCAAGAAAGAACGCUUCUGCGGAGAGAUUAGCUCUGCAGCUUCCACUGGAGAAGGCAGACGGGGCUUUUGUGGACUCGCCGUGCACUUCUCCCAGCGAGGAGAAAGCCAGCAUAUCGUGGGCAAAAGAAAUUGAGGAACUGAUGGUGGACCCCAGCAACCCUUUGCUGUCGGAAAUGGAAGAGAGUGUGCAGGAGCCUGAUGAGUCUCUGGACGAGAUAGCUGCUGAAGCUGGAGACACCUUUGAUGAAAAUUCUCUUUAUCCUUCGGAAAGCUCUGUGAGUUUUUACCGGUAUUUUUGCUGCUUUGGAAAAAAUGCAUAGAAAAUAAUCCAAUCGUGAAAUAUCUUCCCGCAGGACUUUGUGCCGUCUUUCCCUACCCCGUUUCAGCGGUACCUCCUGAACAUCAACCUAAAGUGGGGAAAAAACCUGGUUAUCAGAGACAAGCGCUCAGGUAGGUUAGCGAAAGAUGCACAGAAAACAGUAUUUCAAAUCCUAACUUUUUUUUAAAUCCCAGGAUUCAAAUUCUAAAAUACAAAACAAAAGACAACCUGGAAGUC